CCCUUAGAUGUUCUGGGCUGCACGCGCGCUACACUGAUACGCUCAACGAGCUCCUUGGCCGAAAGGUCCGGGUAAUCUUUGAAAUCGUAUCGUGAUGGGGAUAGAACAUUGCAAUUUUUGUUCUUCAACGAGGAAUGCCUAGUAAGCGCGAGUCAUCAUCUCGCGUUGAUUACGUCCCUGCCCUUUGUACACACCGCCCGUCGCUCCUACCGAUUGAACGUGCUGGUGAAGCGUUAGGACUGGCUCUCGGGGCAGGUCUCCUGCCCCUUGAAUCGGGAAUUUCGUUGAACCCUCCCAUUUAGAGGAAGGAGAAGUCGUAACA
rnacentral:rRNA from 1 species